rnacentral:tRNA from 1 species
CGGGAAGUAGCACAGCCUGGCUAGUGCGCUUGCUUCGGGAGCAAGAGGUCGGCGGUUCAAAUCCGCUCUUCCCGACCA